UUUUGGACAAUGGGCGAAAGCCUGAUCCAGCCAUUCCGCGUGAGUGAAGAAGGCCUUCGGGUUGUAAAGCUCUUUCGCACCCCCCCGAAAACUUAGGCGCUAAUAUCGCUUGAGGUUGACGGUACCUUGAUAAGAAGCACCGGCUAACUACGUGCCAGCAGCCGCGGUAAUACGUAGGGUGCGAGCGUUAAUCGGAAUUACUGGGCGUAAAGCGUGCGCAGGCGGUUUUGUAAGUCAGAUGUGAAAUCCCCGAGCUCAACUUGGGAACUGCGUUUGAAACUAUAAGACUAGAAUAUGUCAGAGGGGGGUAGAAUUCCACGUGUAGCAGUGAAAUGCGUAGAGAUGUGGAGGAAUACCAAUGGCGAAGGCAGCCCCCUGGGAUAAUAUUGACGCUCAUGCACGAAA
rnacentral:rRNA from 1 species